rnacentral:misc_RNA from 1 species
GGUUCGAUCAUGGCUCAGAUUGAACGCUGGCGGGAUGCUUUACACAUGCAAGUCGAACGGCAGCACGGACUUCGGUCUGGUGGCGUGAGUGGCGAACGGGUGAGUAAUGUAUCGGAACGUGCCUAGUAGCGGGGGGAUAACUACGCGAAAGCGUAGCUAAUACCGCAUACGCUCCUUCGGGGGAAAGCGGGGACCUUCGGGCCUCGCACUAUUAGAGCGGCCGAUAUCGGAUUAGCUAGUUGGUGGGGUAACGGCUCACCAAGGCGACGAUCCGUAGCUGGUUUGAGAGGACGACCAGCCACACUGGGACCGAGACACGGCCCAGACUCCUACGGGAGGUGCAGUGGGGAAUUUUGGACAAAUGGGGAAACCCUUGACCAGCCAUCCCGCGUGUGCGAUGAAGGCCUUCGGGUUGUAAAGCACUUUUGGCAGGAAAGAAACGGCACGGGAUAAUACCCCGUGCAACUGACGGUACCUGCAGAAUAAGCACCGGCUAACUACUGCGCCAGCAGCCGCGGUAAUACGUAGGGUGCAAGCGUUAAUCGGAAUUACUGGGCGUAAAGCGUGCGCAGGCGGUUCGGAAAGAAAGAUGUGAAAUCCCAGAGCUUAACUUUGGAACUUACUUUGAAAUUACCGAGCUAGAGUGUCAGAGGGAGGUGGAAUUCCGCGUGUGGCAGUGGAAUGGUGAGUUAUGCGGAGGAACACCGAUGGCGAAGGCAGCCUCCUGGGAUAACACUGACGCUCAUGCACGAAAGCGUGGGGAGCAAACAGGAUUAGAUACCCUGGUAGUCCACGCCCUAAACGAUGUCAACUAGCUGUUGGGGCCUUCGGGCCCGUAGCGCAGCUAACGCGUGAAGUUGACCGCCUGGGGAGUACGGUCGCAAGAUUAAAACUCAAAGGAAUUGACGGGGACCCGCAC